CGACAAGCAAAAGAAGGGCGUAUGGGGGAUGCCUAGGCUCUCAGAGGCGACGAAGGACGUGAUAAGCUGCGAAAAACCGCGGGGAGCUGCACAUGAGCAUUGAUCCGCGGGUAUCCGAAUGGGGCAACCCGGCUGGUUGAAGGCCAGUCAUGCCGUAAGGCAGGCGAACCCGCCGAACUGAAACAUCUAAGUAGGCGGAGGAAGAGAAAACAAGAGUGAUUCCGAGAGUAGUGGCGAGCGAAAUCGGAUCGGCCCAAACCGUUGUUGUUCCGGCAAUGACGGGGUUGUAGGACCACAAUGUUCUUUGCGCGACGAACCGGAAGCAGUUGGAAAGCUGCACGAUAUNNNNNNNNNNGUGACAGUCCCGUACGGGCAAGGAGCGUUAAAGAUAGUGGUAUCCUGAGUAGCGCGGGGCACGUGAAACCCUGUGUGAAUCCGGCGGGACCAUCCGCCAAGGCUAAAUACUCCUGGGAGACCGAUAGUGAACCAGUACCGUGAGGGAAAGGUGAAAAGAACCGUGAACAACGGAGUGAAACAGACCCUGAAACCAUACGCCUACAAGCGGUCGGAGUCCCGAUUUAUCGGGAUGACGGCGUGCCUUUUGCAUAAUGAGCCUACGAGUUACUUUUACCGGCAAGGUUAAGCACUUAUGGUGCGCAGCCGUAGCGAAAGCGAGUCUGAACAGGGCGUCUUAGUCGGUAGUAGUAGACGCGAAACCGUGCGAUCUACCCAUGGGCAGGUUGAAGCUGUGGUAACACAUAGUGGAGGACCGAACCCGUUGACGUUGAAAAGUCUUGGGAUGACCUGUGGGUAGGGGUGAAAGGCCAAUCAAGCUCGGAAAUAGCUCGUACUCCCCGAAAUGCAUUUAGGUGCAGCGUUCUGAUAGUUAUAUAGAGGUAGAGCUACUGAUUGGAUGCGGGGGCUUCACCGCCUACCAAUUCCUGACAAACUCCGAAUGCUAUAUAAUGUUUCAGGGCAGUGAGGGCAUGGGUGCUAAGGUCCAUGUCCGAGAGGGAAAGAACCCGGACCAUCAGCUAAGGUCCCCAAAUAUGUGCUAAGUUGACAAAACGCGGUGGGACUGCUUAGACAGCCAGGAUGUUGGCUUGGAAGCAGCCAUUCAUUUAAAGAGUGCGUAACAGCUCACUGGUCGAGCGGUCCCGCAUGGAUAAUGAUCGGGCAUAAGCACAUUACCGAAGCUAUGGCAUCGAAAGAUGGGUAGGGGAGCAUUCUGUUCGGCGCCGAAGGUGCACUGUGAGGUGUGCUGGAGCGUACAGAAACGAAAAUGUAGGCAUAAGUAACGAUAAUGCGGGCGAGAAACCCGCACGCCGAAAGACCAAGGUUUCCCCGGCCAUGCUAAUCAGCCGGGGGUCAGUCGGGACCUAACACGAACCCGGAAGGGGCAGUGGAUGGACAAGCGGUUAAUAUUCCGCUACCCGCAUAUCAUUAAAAGUGACGGGGCAGUUUAGUUGGUGCGUGCUGACGGAAUAGCACGUUGAAGCGCAAGCGAUAGUACGACAAGGCCACGGCCGCGGUGAUAAUCCAGCGGCGUUGCCUCCAAGAAAAGCGAGAUAUGCGGCCCGUACCGUAAACCGACACAGGUGGUCGGGAUGAGAAUUCUAAGGUGCUCGAGAGAUUCAUGGCUAAGGAACUAGGCAAAAUCGGCCCGUAACUUCGGGAGAAGGGUCGCCCAUCUUCGGAUGGGCCGCAGUGAAAAGGUCCAGGCGACUGUUUAUCAAAAACACAGGGCUCUGCUAAAUCGAAAGAUGACGUAUAG
rnacentral:rRNA from 1 species